AUUUAAGAAACCCAUCUCUUAAAUACUUUGAAAGUGAACUGAGAAAACAGAUGAUUCUUUACCAUGGAAUGUUCUGAUCAGAGAGCAGUGAGUAAGAGAGGAAGAACAGUUAGGAGGCUGUUGUGAGAGUCCUGUCAAGAAGAUACUGAUGACUAAGACCCCCUUGGUAGUGGCAAAAAUGAAGUGGAAGGCUCACAGGCUUUGGGAGAAAGAGCACUGGUAAGGAUUCAGAUAAUGUUGGGAGUAACACUACACAGUUGAGAAAAGCAAGCAAGGUGCAUUUUGACUACUUCAGUGCUUUGUAGGAGAUUUCAGGAUGGCAUUGUUCCCAGACACGUUACUCAUGCUGUUCCUAAAAACUUUUGAGACAGAGCUUUCUGCCUUAGUAAAGCACUCUAGGGUUUGCCAGCCACAACAACGUGGACAUCCUUCCAAGUACCUCGCCGCAUUCCUGCUGCAGUUGGCCUGAUUGUGCCCUUAGUGGGGACGGAAAAAUACA